rnacentral:rRNA from 1 species
GCAACGCGCAGAACCUUACCAACCCUUGACAUCCCUAUCGCGGUUACCAGAGAUGGUUUCCUUCAGCUCGGCUGGAUAGGUGACAGGUGCUGCAUGGCUGUCGUCAGCUCGUGUCGUGAGAUGUUCGGUUAAGUCCGGCAACGAGCGCAACCCACAUCCUUAGUUGCCAGCAGUUCGGCUGGGCACUCUAGGGAAACUGCCCGUGAUAAGCGGGAGGAAGGUGUGGAUGACGUCAAGUCCUCAUGGCCCUUACGGGUUGGGCUACACACGUGCUACAAUGGCGGCGACAGAGGGUUGCGAGCUCGCGAGAGCAAGCUAAUCCCCAAAAGCCGUCUCAGUUCGGAUUGUUCUCUGCAACUCGAGAGCAUGAAGGCGGAAUCGCUAGUAAUCGCGGAUCAGCUUGCCGCGGUGAAUACGUUCCCGGGUCUUGUACACACCGCCCGUCACACCAUGGGAGCGGGUUCUGCCAGAAGUAGUUAGCCUAACCGCAAGGGGGGCGAUUACCACGGCAGGGUUCGUGACUGGGGUGAAGUCGUAACAAGGUAGCCGUAUCGGAAGGUGCGGCUGGAUCACCUCCUU